CCUACGGGGGGCAGCAGUGAGGAAUAUUGGUCAAUGGACGAGAGUCUGAACCAGCCAAGUAGCGUGAAGGAUGACUGCCCUAUGGGUUGUAAACUUCUUUUAUAUGGGAAUAAAACGUUCCACGUGUGGGAUUUUGUAUGUACCAUAUGAAUAAGGAACGGCUAACUCCGUGCCAGCAGCCGCGGUAAUACGGAGGAUCCGAUGGUUAGCCGGAUUUAUGGGGUUUAAAGGGUGCGGAGGCGGAGGUGCAAGUCAGCGGUCAAAUUGCGGGGCUCAACCCCGUACUGCCGGUGAAACUGCAUCCCUUGAGUGCGCGAGAAGUAUGCGGAAUGCGUGGUGUAGCGGUGAAAUGCAUAGAUAUCACGAAGAACUCCGAGUGCGAAGGCAGCAUACCGGCGCGCAACUGACGCUCAUGCACGAAAGCGGGGGUAUCGAACAGGAGUAGAUACCCGGGUAGGC
rnacentral:rRNA from 1 species